rnacentral:misc_RNA from 1 species
AGUGAAUUGUGUAACCCUCCACUGCUUUUGUUUUUCCCCAGCCAUAUAUCUCCAAGUACAGCCUCUUCCUCUGCAUCAGGUGCAACAAAAGACAAUGGCUUAAUAGCAACUUCUGUUGUUACUGAGGGUACAUUCUCCAUCCCAUCAGGGAUGGUAUUAAAACUUUGAAGAGUUUGUUGCCUUCGGUAAAUGUCCAGAAA